GAUGGAGGGGAGUUUCUACGACCAAGAUAGGCACCAGGGGCGUUAUAUAGCCGGCAAACACGCAUCGUUAUUAACCGUACUUUCUAUACCAUCAGGUGUAACGGUGUACACGUACAGACGACAUUACAUGGUAGGCAUAAAAACAAGACUGGAUACAUCACGUGACACCGGCUAGAGACCGGCGAGGAAUAUCUACCUUAACGGUUUUUUGACUCCGUAGAUCGAAUUUUAGUUAACCGCAGCCAACCGGCUCUGGACACCUUCAAUUCGGGCUAAAAGUCAUUAUACAAGGUGCUGAGCGAUUGUUUUCGGCUAAAACAGCGGACGAUUUUUGGAAAUGAAUAUUCUUAAUAACGUGGACCUGAUAAAACAGUUUCCACUCACUGUAUAAGUUAUUACGUGUAACGUUGCUUAUUACCUUUUAGUUACUUCAAUAGAAAAAUAAAACAAUAAUACAAGGCAGAAACUUGUUUCGUUUCUUUAUCUCUCCCGCUUUUAAACCAUUCGCUUCUAAACCGCAGGCUUAUCUCUGUGUAAGAGGAUAAAUAUUCUUUUACGAGGGAAAAUCCUUUAUAUUGUUACGGAACGUUGCACGAACGGCAGCUUAGAUGUGGCAUCCGAUUUUUAAGUGAUCUUAACAUUUGGAAGCCAUGCCGUUUUUGCGUCACACCCAAUCAUAUUGAUACAAAGGGUGAAAUCACCCGUUUUGUCCCCUUUUUAAUGAUCUCGUAGUCAUCAUAGAUAAAAGACGUUUAUAAACCUCUUAUGUAUUUCAAAAGAAUAAGGUUGCUGCGUCAACCAACAUUAUUGUAAAAACAGUCUAUCUCGAGAAUUUAAAAGGAGAGCUUCGUCACAAAAUAAAUCCUUUUCCUCUCUUAAUUAUAGUUCACCGUCGCAUCGCGAGUUUUUAUAUAGUUUGGUAUUUUUCCGCUGACAUACCUGAACGGAUGAUGCGAUCUUGGUACGAUCUUGAACAACAUUCGAAGGUGGAUAAAAAUAGUAUACCGGUAGGAUAAAAUGCAUCGAUGAACAAAUAAAUGAAGUUAUCUUUAAACGGUAUAGACUCGCCCAAGAAUAACAUACUUCAUGAAUUACAUUACCAUUCCAACGCCAAGCACCCGCUUGACGUGUAUUUCAGACCGAGAAGUGAUACGAUAUAUCUAUAUCCAUGCACCUAUCUUCGUCGCAGCUUUACGUACGCAAUGAUGACGCAAUGCGGAAACUGUUUCGACUGCGCAUCGAACGUUCUCACAAGAAUUGCCCGACGCGGCGACGGCACAAACAGUGCCUUCAUAGCAGAAAUAUCGACAUUUGGAUUUGAAGUAUUAUCCGGCGUAGAGAUUGCAUUUUAUAGAUUAAACAUUUCAUAUUACUGUAGAAUACAGACAAAAUACAAUUGUAAUAUAAAUUUACACGUAUAACAGCUUGAGCGUUGUAUGCAUGCAGUGAAGAGGAACUGAGCUUAAACUUCAUUGUAAGCAAUAAUAAAUCUUGCUCAUUUUCUUUUA
rnacentral:lncRNA from 1 species